AACGAACGCUGGCGGCAGGCCUAACACAUGCAAGUCGAGCGAAGCCUUCGGGCUUAGCGGCGGACGGGUGAGUAACGCGUGGGAACGUGCCCUUUGGUACGGAAUAGCCCCGGGAAACUGGGAGUAAUACCGUAUGUGGUCGAGAGACGAAAGAUUUAUCGCCAAAGGAUCGGCCCGCGUUGGAUUAGGUAGUUGGUGGGGUAAUGGCCUACCAAGCCGACGAUCCAUAGCUGGUUUGAGAGGAUGAUCAGCCACACUGGGACGGAGACACGGCCCAGACUCCUACGGGAGGCAGCAGUGGGGAAUCUUAGACAAGGGGGGAAACCCUGAUCUAGCCAUGCCGCGUGAUCGAUGAAGGCCUUAGGGUUGUAAAGAUCUUUCAGUGGGGAAGAUAAUGACUGUACCCACAGAAGAAGCCCCGGCUAACUCCGUGCCAGCAGCCGCCGUAAAAC
rnacentral:rRNA from 1 species